GGCUCAGAACGAACGCUGGCGGCAGGCCUAACACAUGCAAGUCGAGCGCGCCCUUCGGGGUGAGCGGCGGACGGGUUAGUAACGCGUGGGAACGUACCCUUUGGUAGGGAAUAGCCACUGGAAACGGUGAGUAAUACCCUAUGAGCCCUUCGGGGGAAAGAUUUAUCGCCAAAGGAUCGGCCCGCGUUAGAUUAGGUAGUUGGUGGGGUAAUGGCCUACCAAGCCUACGAUCUAUAGCUGGUUUUAGAGGAUGAUCAGCAACACUGGGACUGAGACACGGCCCAGACUCCUACGGGAGGCAGCAGUGGGGAAUCUUGGACAAUGGGGGCAACCCUGAAUCCAGCCAUGCCGCGUGAGUGAAGAAGGCCUUAGGGUCGUAAAGCUCUUUCGCCUGUGAAGAUAAUGACGGUAGCAGGUAAAGAAACCCCGGCUAACUCCGUGCCAGCAGCCGC
rnacentral:rRNA from 1 species